GUAAAUUACUGAAAAAAUCACAGUGAUUAACUCAAAAUUAUUUUACGUGUUCUCGUUUCUGCGUAUUUGUGCAAAAUAAGACCAUGGAUGAUGAGGGGCCUAAAACCGUUACAUGGUGUCGUAAUGUUUCAAAUUUCAGAGAAAAAAAUCGUACAUAGCCCUUUCGCCAUUUUUGACUGCAAUAGAUGCUUGCAAUAGGAGAUUGGAGGGAACUUCUUCAGCCCGUCUGGUCCCCAUUAUUGUCAUGGAUGUUGGCUCCUUAUCUUCUUCAUUCUAAUAUUUGGCGUACCGCCGUAAAUUUGUCUUCGUUCUUCAGCGCUUUUUUAAUCAAUUUCGCCUUUGAAGCGCCAAAGGCAAUAGUGCAAAGGCAUGCAAAUGUGAUUCAACAACAACCAGGGGUCACUAUUGUCAAGUUUUUUGGACGGGGCAUUGUCUGCUGAGAUUGCAAUCAUCGGGUAUGUGAUCGCAGAUUGGUCAAUCCCAAGGCGGUUGUGCGUACAGGAUUGGCCCGAUGAAGUCCUCCAUCGGCAAGGGCUGUCGCCUCAGUGUACAACACACUGCUACAACAACAAGGGCGCCACAAUUUGAUGCUAGCAGCUGGGAUAAAUACUUAUUCCAUAUUCUAAGCAUACUAUCUGAAUCUUUUACCAGAUUUCCUUGUUUGUCUCUGCAGAAUGAUGCGUCUGUACUUAAACCAUUGGUUUGAUGUAGAAAUAGAAAAGAAUAGGAAAGAACUCCUCCGAACUGUUCAAUAUCAAACGAGGUUUCGGACAGACAGCUUAUCGUGUGAUCUAUUUAAUAGAUUAUACGAGAUGCAGAUGUGAUGGGUCGAACACCAGCCUUUGUAAAGAUCGUCUGUAAAAGUCAGUAAAAGUGGGUCUGGCGGUAAUUGGAGAUAGAGCAAAGUGGAUAAGAACGACCAAACGAAGAAAAUUUGAGAUGGUAACCUAUUUUAUCUCCCUUGGCACCGAACGAAAACGAAACGAAUGACAACAAUUUUGAAAUAAAAAGUAAUAUUGGCUAACAGAUGCUACUUUGGAUUGAACAAACCGUUCAGAAAUAAAGCCAUUUCACGACAUGAAAAUUA